AUUUGGACAAAGUGAUGGAGGACUGGUGGACUGGAUGUCGAAACAAAAUGCGCAUAAAAAGCGCCUUCUUCUUGAUGAUAUUGUUCCUCUCUUAUGUGGCUGUCCCAUGGCAGGUUGUCUCUGCACAGGAGGAGGUGAACUGCACCUUCAGACAAGAUGGUGGAUGGACUGAGUACAGUGUGCCUGAACACCAAGCAACUGACUGUAAUUUCUCCUGGAGCAACAACAGUGGUCAUGUGAUCUCCAACAACCUGGGGCAGGAUGAAACGGUGUUGAAUAGCAGCGAGUCGUCUGUUCGCAUCAGGGGGUGUUCUGAAAGUAUGGGUUACUGGAGAGAUUGCAUCUCUGAGGGGACACCACGUGUAAGCAGCUGUAACAUCACCUGCAGGAACCUGCAGCCACGUGAACAAGAAUAUGGAUACCUUGCCUACAUCAUUCCUGCUGCCUGUGUAUUGCUGGUACUGGGGGUCAUGGGGGUCAUCUUCAUGCUAUAUAAGUGCUUCAUCCGGCAGAGCACUUCUACGGCAGGCAGUCCAGAUGACGUGGAGGCAUCCGUUUUUUAGGCUCUGCAUUUUUACUGCAUGUAGAUUUUCUUCUGUGCCUUCAGAUAAUGUGUGACAAUCUUUUCAGAGAUUACUUUACUAAGUUGUAAUCUUUUCUAGGUUUCUAAGGAAAAAUAUCUUUUAAACUAUCAAUGCAUUUAUUAAGGUAAAUCAUGCAUAUUAAUAUGAUUCACAUAUACAGUACAGUGACUGGACAUGGGAGACCUGAUUAUAUUCUGUUGUGGACAUGUGGUUAUUGUUGUCCGUUCUAAGGAGGCAUUCCGUACAGUAAAUCAGAUCUAUAGAUACAGAUCUAUAGAAUCGUUUCUUCCACACUGAUGCACACUUUCAUGUAUUCCUAACGCCGGCCCUGCACCGUUAAUUGUCUUUACAUUACUUAAGACAAAUGAUACAUAUGCAGGCAGUGACAAACCUGUGCCUUAUGCAGUCAGUUGUUGUGCUGACUGAACAAAAUGGUGGGUUCGUGGAUGCAUUCACCAGUGGCUCGUGUAUACCCUGUGAUGACGUAACGCAGCUAAUUGCACACUCACAGAUGUGUAACAUAAAACACAUGCUUAAUUAAUUCACCUUUAAACCAACUGUUGAUGUACCUGUUCAGAUGUUUAGGCUGAAUUCACAAUUGUAUUUACUGAUACAGUAUUUGUAAUUCAGCUGUAAUCUAACAGACAGACAUACCGUUACAAAAGGUGGCUAGUACACGUUUUAGAUGUGUAUGUAGCAUCCAAGUGUAAAGUAUUCAAAAGGCUUUGCUUUUUGUAAUAUGACAGGUCAGGCUUCCAGGUUCAAAGCUACAGGAUGUGUCUUGGUUAGUGACAGAUCAUUUUGCGUUAUAGACUAGCUGAUGAAAUAAGCCGUGUGUUACAAAAUAGUCGGAAUCUCAGCGUUUGACACAGUUGUGAUAAUAAAAAGCAACAGAUUUCACUAUGUAACUGGUUA
ensembl:lncRNA